rnacentral:rRNA from 1 species
GCUACACAUGCAGUCGAACGGCAGCACAGGAGAGCUUGCUCUCUGGGUGGCGAGUGGCGGACGGGUGAGGAAUACAUCGGAAUCUACUUUUUCGUGGGGGAUAACGUAGGGAAACUUACGCUAAUACCGCAUACGACCUACGGGUGAAAGCAGGGGAUCUUCGGACCUUGCGCGAUUGAAUGAGCCGAUGUCGGAUUAGCUAGUUGGCGGGGUAAAGGCCCACCAAGGCGACGAUCCGUAGCUGGUCUGAGAGGAUGAUCACCCACACUGGAACUGAGACACGGUCCAGACUCCUACGGGAGGCAGCAGUGGGGAAUAUUGGACAAUGGGCGCAACCCUGAUCCACCCAUACCGCGUGGGUGAAGAAGGCCUUCGGGUUGUAAAGCCCUUUUGUUGGGAAAGAAAUCCAGCUGGCUAAUACCCGGUUGGGAUGACGGUACCCAAAGAAUAAGCACCGGCUAACUUCGUGCCAGCAGCCGCGGUAAUACGAAGGGUGCAAGCGUUACUCGGAAUUACUGGGCGUAAAGCGUGCGUAGGUGGUCGUUUAAGUCCGUUGUGAAAGCCCUGGGCUCAACCUGGGAACUGCAGUGGAUACUGGGCGACUAGAGUGUGGUAGAGGGUAGCGGAAUUCCUGGUGUAGCAGUGAAAUGCGUAGAGAUCAGGAGGAACAUCCAUGGCGAAGGCAGCUACCUGGACCAACACUGACACUGAGGCACGAAAGCGUGGGGAGCAAACAGGAUUAGAUACCCUGGUAGUCCACGCCCUACACGAUGCGAACUGGAUGUUGGGUGCAAUUUGGCACGCAGUAUCGAAGCUAACGCGUUAAGUUCGCCGCCUGGAGAGUACGGUCGCAAGACUGACACUCAGAGGAAUUGACGGGGGCCCGCACAAGCGGGGGAGUAUGUGGUUUAAUUCGAUGCAACGCGAAGAACCUUACCUGGCCUUGACAUGUCGAGAACUUUCCAAAGAUGGAUUGGUGCCUUCGGGAACUCGAACCCAGGUGCUGCAUGGCUGUCGUCA